AAACAGAAUGGGAAAAUCAGAAAGGUAGAAGGAGCAUUUCAGCUCUGCUGCCCUAAUGUCACCAUUUGUCACACAGCCUUCUGUCACAGAGUCCAGGACAAGGGUUAACUCUCUCCUCCCCCCUCCGUGCUAUGUGCACAGGCUACUCUGGGAUAGUUACAGGAUUCAAAUGUGCCUGGCCUGACAAUGUUGCUGCUGCGCAUUGUUAUGCAACUGGCUGUCUGGGAGGGCAGAUUGUAGCGCCUAUACUCUGCAAGUGCCAGGUGCGUGUUUUGUCAAUGUCACAGCUCGCUACAGUAAUGCAACCCCAAGCACGGCCACUCUGUUCAUCUGGUGGGGCUGGCUGCUGAAUUACGCAAUGUGCAGAAGGAUUCCUAGGAAUUAUUUGCCAGUGAUGCCUGCUUAAGUGUGAAGUACACCUGGCGCUGGAAAUCCCUGGCACUGCUCAGGUUACUUACAAAUCCCCAGCGUACAUUUCCAGAGAGAGAGAGAGAGCAAGCAGUGGCUUAAGCUCAAAGAGAUGAAAAAUUCCCAGGGAUGAUGCAUUUCUUAAGAAAGGGGAAUUUGCUCUUUUAUUUUAAGGGUCACUUGGAGAAGGGAUUCCCCUCAGGCCAAUGACAGAUCCCCUCUUUAUGGUGGAAAGAACAAACAGUUACACAGCAGAGCUACCUGCUAGACAAAGGAAACAAAGAGGAGAUAAUACAACUUGGAUUCUGAACUGAGGACAAGUCUCUUGGAAAGCUGUUCUCAUUCUGUGGAUCAAUAAUGGGUAGCAUCCUUUUCACGCCGGCUGUAUUCACUGGAUUAAUGAUAGAUUAAGGAGCCUCAAAUUUUGGUGUCUAAACAAUUUGUUAUUAAAAGGGGGAAAGAUCAAAAGCAUUGUGUGUAUGUGUACAAGUGACAUCUGUCCCCCUCGGUUUACAGAGCAGCUCAAGUGGAAGACAAUAGGGUUGGUUUUCCAUUCUGUGAGGGACAAAGAAGUAUGCCUGAUGCCACUGUACUCCUGAUGCACAGUAGGACAGUCUUCGGAGGAGUACUGAAGACAUUUUUGGGGAAAAUGAUUACGUCUGCUAUGUCAGCAGCAGCAGCAGAAGUGAAAAAACAAGAGGAGAAAGAGGAAAAAGAAGAGUCCAUUUUGGCUAUGUUGGGAAUUAUAGGAACAGUUUUAAAUCUGUUUGUCAUCAUUUUUGUGUACAUCUACACCACCCUCUGAUGGUUUAUAGCAGUUCUGAACAUCUAACAGGUGGGGGUGAAAUUGUACCGACUGCAAAUAUGGAAGGAACUGAGAAGACAUUUCAAGAGGGUCCCUCAAAAUGCUAUCCAAUACAUUCCAGUGCUAAGUGCCUAGAUGGAUUAUGGGAAAUCACGUGCAUCCGUCACUGCAGAUAGGAUUAUACGACUACGUAACCAAGAUGGGCAACACCACACUGGUGCCACUGAUACAGAAAGUCAGUGCAGAAUUACAACUGAGAAUUAAUUUAAAAACAAAAUGCCUGAGAGUGCUCUGUUACUGCCAUAUUAUAUACAAGAUACAGGAAAUGGUCAUUCAGCAUCCAUCUGUAUAUAGCACUUCCCUCAUCCGACCAUGGGUAGAAAAAAGAAAACAACUUUUAUCCUUUACUUAUACUCCAUAAAAUACUUCCAUCUGUGCUGGUACAACUAAGGAUGAAUAAUAAUCCUUUUCAACCUUUUUUUUUUUUUUUCUAAAAGCACCUUACUAAAUUUCUCACACAGACCACUCUGAUUGACCUACUGUGAAUAACUGAAGAAAGCAUUUUAUCAUAUGAUUCUAACAUUUUUAUACUUCACAGUAAUAAAUGGUUGGGUGGGCAGGUGUCUUGCAAGCCAUUAAUUAGAUUUUAGAUUAUACAAUAUGAUGCUCAGGAGCCAGCCCAUGUGUCACGGCUAGGCAAAAUGUAAUUCUCCAGCUACUGUUGAAAAACAAAACCCCAUCAUUCCCAGGCUGUUAGCUGGUGGGACUAAGGUUUCCUACGCUAUGGUCUGUAAAAUUAAGACAUUUUAUACAAUUCUGAACUGGUUGCUUUAGCUAGACAAGCAACAUUGGCUUUGAAGUUAUCCAUAAGCUGGGCAAUCUAAAAACAUUCCUGUUUUUUUCUGCAGGAAAAUAAAAUGUUUACAGGUAUCUAGAGAAGUUACCAAACUCAAAGGAAGAGCAGAAAAGCUUAGGCCAUGGUGGAUCUUGAGGUAUAGUCAAUAACUAAUAUUAAAGGACCAGUUUCACUAACUUAAAAAUCAAUAUAUGCUUUAGUUACACAAGACCUCAUUUAGACCUUUUUAUUUACUGUUAAAUUUGUAGCUUCUUUGUGCUGUACAUAUAAGCACUUCUACUCCAUUCAUUAUAUAGGUAACCUUUUAAUGUACAUUACAAAAGCAGUGCAUUGAUAUUCCCAGUUGGGUUUUUGUGGGGCAUAGUUUAUAAAAUACAGCUAAACAUGAUAAUAAUACAAUACAGAGUGUACUGCAUGGUUUGUAUCCCUUGGUUGGAGAAGCUGGUACUUUAUAUGUAAACCCAUAUAAUAAAAGUUUUUCUGCAGGCAAUUUCAUUCUGCUCAUUCAUUCAAGUUGUAUCAUGGGUCAGAUUUACUUAUGGCAUGCCAUGGUACAUACAUUGGUGACAAUAAGCAGAAACAUUUUUUUGAGGGGAAAAAUGCGUUUUCUCUGCCUUCAGUAAAUCUCACCCAUUUUGAAUUUCUUGAUUUUCUUAUGAAAUCAAGUUGGGUGAUCUACUUGUUAUAAUGUCCUAAAGCAUUUCAAACAUAGGCACAUACAACAAACAAACAUAAAUGAAUGUGUCUAUUCAGAAUACAUGGAAGUCAUUGCCACUAAAGUUAAUAUACUGUUGAUGCUGUCAAAUGUAUGUGUAAAGCUGAACAAGAUAAUGGUACUAUAAAGGUUGGAGAACCACAAUCACUGCAAAAACUUAUAGCUUUAAAAUGUAUGAGUAUGUGAUUUUAUAACAUCAUGCAUUUAUUAAAGCUGGGAACAGGUUCUUUGUACAUUUAUAGAAAAAUUAACCCAAAUGAAAUGAUAAACUGCAAAAUCUGAAAUUUCUACUAAUAAAAUUAUGCCAUUUUGGGAAAGCAAUACUGCUAUUAAUACUAGUUUUGAAUGAGCAUUAAUCAUUUUUCAAAUUCCUCCUCUUCAACUUAACCCACAUUAAAUCAAUUUAUAUGACAUUUGAAGAAAGGCAAAUGCCCCAACAAUUUAAAUAGUUUGUACAACUUUGUCUUUUUAAUAUACACCAAGUGCCCAGAAGAAACUUUGCAUUCAGUAACAAUAAAAUAUAUUCACAUUUUAAUUUUGCAAAGUGUUAAAUAAGUGUGAAAUAUCCAACUCUCAAAAUCAGAUCGUAACUGCUUUAAAAAUACUGUUAUUUGUAAUGAGAAGUAUUUUCUCUCGUUCCACUGUCCUGAGUGACUAAAUGAUAAGGAAUAAUAGUGUCAUUUGUAAUGAAAGUCAGCAGACCAAUGAAGACAAUAUGUUUAUAUACCCAGUUUGUAAUAUCUGGACAUUAACUGGUAAGAAACCAGAGAAUUAAAGUCAACAAUGUUUUUUUUGGGGUUGAGUGUAUGUAUGCUAUUUAACAGAACAAUGUGACUUUUAAUUACCAUAGCAUCUCUGCACAUGCCUGGGUCUAGUUUAACAGUCUAGUGUGCUCGAAGGUGAAACCUGCAUAAGUGUAUUACAUGGAGGCUUCAUGCUCAAUGCAAUGGCAGCAACCAAAAACAUACUCACUGAAUAAACUGGUCAUCAUGCCAUUACUUACACUGUACACAAGCAAACUAAAUGAAAAAAAACUUAAGAACUGAAACCCCACCAUUAAAAUACAAUAUAUGUUAAGGUAUUUUGCAUUUAUAGUGAACAGAUUAAUCAUACCCGCAAAAGUGAUGUUCAAAAUAAAUAAGCCUUAAACAGAACCUAAAAUAAACCGUUGUGGGUGGGUAAUAAUUUGCUAAUUCAUUGCUAGUAAACAUGCAAAAAAUUUUUAGGUUUUUAAAUGUCUUCAAAGGUUUUAGAAAAAAAAGCCCUGGGAGACUUUGUAUGUUUCCCCACCAUGGAUGUAAGCAAUGGCCACUAUCUUCUACAUUCUACUAGAAAAUUGAGGAGACCCAGCGUUAACAAAAAUCUUAUAAAAGUAAAAUAGAUCUAAAUUUAGGAUUUACAUAAGCAUGAAUAUUACAUAAAGUAUACUACUAUAGUAAUACUAGCAAUAUUUUGUUGGAACUUUGUGAAAGUACACAACAGCUAUAUCCAUUUUCAUUGCAGGUCAUCAUUUACAUUGUUAGGCCACACAGUAGUAUUUUAUUCUUUUGUAAUGUACUUAGAAAAUAAGCAAAGCCCAGCAAGCAAAACACUGAUGUCUUCAAUCAUUGGCCAAUGUAGUAAUUUUUGCUAAUUUAUAACAUGUACAUUGCGCCUACCAAGAGUGACUAAGCCACUAAUAAUCCAUAUCAUGUACACACGCAUAUUUCAGCAAUGGUGAGAAUAUUUUAUACACCUUGCAUCUGUAUACCUUAUAAGUCGGGAGAGAGAAAUGACUUUCUGGCCUGCCUCCAAAGCCUCUUUUGCACAUUAGCAAAUUUUCUUAACGGGACAGCUAAAGUAAACAAAAUGUACUCCUUUCUCAGUUUAUUACAGUAUGUAGUUAACAGACCCUCGUUCCACUGUCCUGAGUGACUAAAUGGUAAGGAAUAAUCCCUACCAGUCGACAAUGGUUUAGAGGGAACCAAAUGAAUAUAGUUGUCAAAUUGUUUACAUAAAGCUGAUAAUUUGUCAGUUAUGUUAAACUGAAAAGCAGCAAAUGAACAAUGCCAAACCUGGAACGCUUUGGUUCUCAUUAAAAUGCCAUUCUACUUUACAGGACAUCCAGAGAUUUGCCUAUGAGUACAGGAAACAAGCUGUGUUGUUUAUUAUACUAUACAAUGAAUUAUACUAUAAAAUAAAAUAAUCAUGUAAACCGAA